UACGUAGGGGGCUAGCGUUGUCCGGAAUCAUUGGGCGUAAAGAGCGUGUAGGCGGCUCGGUAAGUCCGCUCUGAAAGCCCGGGGCUCAACCCCGGGAGGCGGGCGGAUACUGUCGGGCUAGAGUCCGGAAGAGGCGAGUGGAAUUCCUGGUGUAGCGGUGAAAUGCGCAGAUAUCAGGAGGAACACCAAUAACGAAGGCAGCUCGCUGGGACGGUACUGACGCUGAGACGCGAAAGCGUGGGGAGCAAACAGG
rnacentral:rRNA from 1 species